AUUGAACGCUAGCGGAAUGCUUUACACAUGCAAGUCGAACGGCAGCACGGGAGCUUGCUCCUGGUGGCGAGUGGCGAACGGGUGAGUAAUGCGUCGGAACGUACCGAGUAAUGGGGGACAACGCAGCGAAAGUUGUGCUAAUACCGCAUAUGCCCUUUGGGGGAAAGCAGGGGAUCGCAAGACCUUGCGUUAUUCGAGCGGCCGACGUCUGAUUAGCUAGUUGGUAGGGUAAAGGCCUACCAAGGCUUCGAUCAGUAGCGGGUCUGAGAGGAUGAUCCGCCACACUGGAACUGAGACACGGUCCAGACUCCUACGGGAGGCAGCAGUGGGGAAUUUUGGACAAUGGGGGCAACCCUGAUCCAGCCAUUCCGCGUGAGUGAAGAAGGCCUUCGGGUUGUAAAGCUCUUUCGGCAGGAACGAAACGGACUGCUCUAACAUAGCGGUCUAAUGACGGUACCUGAAGAAGAAGCACCGGCUAACUACGUGCCAGCCGCCGCCGUAACAC
rnacentral:rRNA from 1 species